rnacentral:rRNA from 1 species
AACGAACGCUGGCGGCAGGCUUAACACAUGCAAGUCGAGCGGAGAUGAGGUGCUUGCACCUUAUCUUAGCGGCGGACGGGUGAGUAAUGCUUAGGAAUCUGCCUAUUAGUGGGGGACAACAUUCCGAAAGGAAUGCUAAUACCGCAUACGUCCUACGGGAGAAAGCAGGGGAUCUUCGGACCUUGCGCUAAUAGAUGAGCCUAAGUCGGAGUAGCUAGUUGGUGGGGUAAAGGCCUACCAAGGCGACGAUCUGUAGCGGGUCUGAGAGGAUGAUACGCCACACUGGGACUGAGACACGGCCCAGACGCCUACGGGAGGAAGCAGUGGGGAAUAGUGGACAAUGGGGGAAACCCUAAUCCAGCCAUGCCGCGUGUGUGAAGAAGGCCUUAUAGUUGUAAAGCACUUUAAGCGAGGAGGAGGCUACUGAGACUAAUACUCUUGGAUAGUGGACGUUACUCGCAGAAUAAGCACCGGCUAACUCUGUGCCAGCCGCCGCAGUAAUAC